CUCGCGAUAGCUCAGUUGGUAGAGCGGAGGACUGUAGUGGAUAGGGGCAUCCUUAGGUCGCUGGUUCAAAUCCGGCUCGCGAGA
rnacentral:tRNA from 1 species